rnacentral:rRNA from 1 species
GUGAGUAACACGUGAGUAACCUGCCCCAGACUCUGGAAUAAGCGCUGGAAACGGCGUCUAAUACCGGAUAUGACACGAACGGGCAUCCGUAUCGUGUGGAAAGUUUUUCGGUCUGGGAUGGACUCGCGGCCUAUCAGCUUGUUGGUGAGGUAAUGGCUCACCAAGGCGAUGACGGGUAGCCGGCCUGAGAGGGCGAUCGGCCACACUGGGACUGAGACACGGCCCAGACUCCUACGGGAGGCAGCAGUGGGGAAUAUUGCACAAUGGGCGAAAGCCUGAUGCAGCGACGCCGCGUGAGGGAUGACGGCCUUCGGGUUGUAAACCUCUUUCAGCAGGGAAGAAGCGCAAGUGACGGUACCUGCAGAAGAAGCACCGGCUAACUACGUGCCAGCAGCCGCGGUAAUACGUAGGGUGCGAGCGUUGUCCGGAAUUAUUGGGCGUAAAGAGCUUGUAGGCGGUUUGUCGCGUCUGCUGUGAAAAUCCGGGGCUCAACCCCGGACUUGCAGUGGGUACGGGCAGACUAGAGUGUGGUAGGGGAGACUGGAAUUCCUGGUGUAGCGGUGAAAUGCGCAGAUAUCAGGAGGAACACCGAUGGCGAAGGCAGGUCUCUGGGCCACUACUGACGCUGAGAAGCGAAAGCAUG